rnacentral:rRNA from 1 species
UGCCUGAUGGAGGGGGAUAACUACUGGAAACGGUAGCUAAUACCGCAUAACGUCGCAAGACCAAAGAGGGGGACCUUCGGGCCUCUUGCCAUCGGAUGUGCCCAGAUGGGAUUAGCUAGUAGGUGGGGUAACGGCUCACCUAGGCGACGAUCCCUAGCUGGUCUGAGAGGAUGACCAGCCACACUGGAACUGAGACACGGUCCAGACUCCUACGGGAGGCAGCAGUGGGGAAUAUUGCACAAUGGGCGCAAGCCUGAUGCAGCCAUGCCGCGUGUAUGAAGAAGGCCUUCGGGUUGUAAAGUACUUUCAGCGGGGAGGAAGGGAGUAAAGUUAAUACCUUUGCUCAUUGACGUUACCCGCAGAAGAAGCACCGGCUAACUCCGUGCCAGCAGCCGCGGUAAUACGGAGGGUGCAAGCGUUAAUCGGAAUUACUGGGCGUAAAGCGCACGCAGGCGGUUUGUUAAGUCAGAUGU